CGUCGCGGGCCCCCGAGGGGUCGCGGCCUCGGGCGGGGCGUGCGGUCCCCUGCCCUCUUCGCUAGGCUGUUUAUGCCCCGCCCGCGCCACGCGCCGCGUCCCCAGCCCCAGCACGGCGGCCUCGGGAGGCUGUCGGUCCGCACGCUGCCCGGGCUGCGACCUCACCGCAGGCCUCCGGGGCCCGGCCGGGAGCUGCUGUCUCCCUGUGAUCCGCAGCCCUCGGGUGGCUUUGUGCAGACUGUCGCGCGUUCGGCCAACCUGCGGAGCACUGAGGAGGCUGGAGGAGCGAGUGGGCAGGCUGGCGGUCUGUCAGGCUUCUUGGAAACUAAAAUUGGAGCUGUGCAGUUCUCUUGCCGAGCGACCUUAGUGUUAUCGAAGGAGAAAUGCGAAACCGAAGUGGUUAGGGUUACUACUGACCAGACUCGAGGAGGACUUGCGGUAGAACUUACUGUCGAAUUUUCUUUCCCUUCUUACACCUGUUACUGAAAAGGAGUUUCUUGCAAAUGGAAAACGAGACUGACUUUGGGUAACCAAGAUUACAAGAGUCUCAAUUUGUUAAUGUGACCAAAAUCUACUUUUUGAGUAAGUGUUCUAUAUGGUUGUGUAAGACUUUACUGCUGCCAAAGAACUUUCCCAUCAGUUAUCUCAUUUCACAGUAACCUUGUGAGAUAGAGCAAGUAGCAAUGUAGAGAUGACUUUAUAAUCCUUUUUCCAGCGUGGAAGCCCAAUACCUGCAGUUCAUCGUGAAAACUUGCUUUGAAAACAAGAUGUGUACAAGUGUAAUGUGAGAAAAUGAGAAUUCUGGAUCACAUACCUAGUGACUUGAGAUCUAAUUAAUCCAGCUUUUAAAAUUUCCUUGAUAUAUAAUUAAAAUACAAUAAAAGAUGAAUACACGGGGAAGGUUACUGUCCCAUGAGGGCUGACAGACAAACACAGUUUAUACUCAGCACUCCACUGAACCUUCACAACCAUUCGUUCUGUCAGCUUGUGCUCCCUCCUUUUCCACAGUCCUUAACCCCCUUUCACCCAAGAACAAUUUGGUCUGCUUUCUUUUGUUAUAUUUUGGCUUUUUGAACAUUUCAUAUAAAUGUGAUUUUAUGACUUCCAUAGCCACAUGUCUGGCUUCUUUUUACCCACAAUAAUGUUUAUUGAGAUGUAUCUACGAUGUUGCCUUUUUAGUAGUUCCAUUCAUCUUUUAAGUAGGUGAUUUAUUGUACAGAUAUAGCAUACCUUUUGUUUUUGCUCUUGGGCUCUCUCGCUCUCUCUCUCUCCCUCUCUCUCAUGUGUAUUUAUUCUUUUGCGUGUGUGCACGCGUGUGCUCGCUGAAUUUGAUGUUACUUGGACUGACCUUCCAUCUUACUUAUUGAGUCAGGGUCUUGUAGUCAAACCCAGAGGUUCCUAUGAUUCUGAUCUUGCUACCCAGCUUGCUCUGGCAAACCAUCUUGCUUUGCCUUAAUGGACCUGGACUGACAAGUGACAGGGAAUGCCCUCCUGGCAUUUCUGGAUUUCUGGGGAUCUGAACUCCCAGUCCUCACACUUGCUGGGCGAGCACUUUAACCAUUUGGUCAUCUGUCCAACUCACAAUUUGUUUAUUCACUCCUCAGAUAAAAGAUACUUGAGCAAUUCUUCUGUGAAUAUUUGUGUAUAGAUCUUUAAUUAGAAAUAAUUUUUGUUUCUUCUGGGUAUAGAUACUGAGCAGUAGAGCUGCUGGCUCAUGUGCAGAGUUUUAUUUAAUUUUUUAAAAAGUUCCCAAACUUCUUCAAACAUACUUGUUUUAUAGUUGCAGUAGCAAUAUAUUAAGGUUACUUUUAUAACAGAUCUCUUCAGUAUUUUAGAUUACCCUUUAAAAAGUUAAUACAUUUUUAUUGUGAUAAGAAACAUAACUAUCUUAACCAAUUAGACAUUUAAUUUAAAUGUUAUUUCUUGCUCUCUCUCUCUCUCUCUCUCUCUCUCUCUCUCUCUCUCUGUGUGUGUGUGUGUGUGUGUGUGUGUAGGAUGUGUGAGGGGCGUACAUGAGCCACAGUGUAUUUGUGAAGGUCCGAGGGCAACCCUGUGAAUGAAUUCAACCUUUCCAUGAAUUCUGGGAAUGAUCACUAAGCUUGUGUGGCAAGUACCUUUAACCUCUGAGCCAUCUCACUAGCCCCUAAUAAUUUUUUUAGUCUUUAUUUAUAACUAUUAUGGGGUAUAUAGUAAUAUUGCAUUGUUUUCAUUUUUGCCUUAGGUGUUGGCCAAAAUUUUUUUUUUUAAUGUGACCGGAGUUUGGAGUGAUUGAAAUUGUAUGUGUGUAUGCAGUAGUCAGUUUGACUGACCAAAAUUUAUGUGUGUUUGUGCAUGUGAGCAUAAGUUCACAUGCUAGUCAGCUUAUAUUGUUAAGUCACUUUUUGGAAAAAUAUUUAUUUUAUGUGCAUGUGUGUUUUGCCUUCAUAUGUAUGCAGUGCCUUCUGAAAAGGACAUGAAUUUCACAGAACUGGAGUUACAGAUAGUUGUUAGUUGUUGUGUAGGUGAUAGAAAUCAAACCUGAGUCCUCUGGAAGAGCUGCUAGAGCUCUUAACCUCUGAGCCAUCUCUCCAGCUCCUUAAAUUGUUAAAUCACACAAAGGCACAGACAUUGGCAACUACCUAUUUCCAAGAGGCAGUUUUUAGAGCAAUCAGUGUACAAGGCCCAGUAGUGGUUAGCCAUAGAGGCACUUUGUUAUAGGAGAUACAUUUGACAAAGAAGCCAUAAAUAUGUUUCUAUAUUGUCUUUUAUGGCUAACCCAUUAGAAAAGAUAGCCAGGAACUGCUGCCUUUCUGCUAUUUUUCAAUCUUAGGAUGGUCCCUACUAAACAGAGUCCUGUGGGCUUGCUUCAUCUGUUUCUUGAACUGGAGAUGAGCUUAGGAUAUUUUUCAGACACUUGUAGAACGAUAUUUUUUUCUUUUGAGAGGAGGCUUUACUAUUUUGUUCAAGCUGGCCUCAGUUGAACUGACUUCAAAGUCAGUCUUCCUGCCUUCGUCCAGAGGAAGGGAUUACAGACCUAUGCCACCAUGCCCAGAGUCAUUAUAGAAUGGAAAUGGCAAUUUAUUUAGGUCAUCUAAAGAAUUUGAGAAUGAAGGCACUGUUUAGAAGAUUUUGCUUUGUAUUCUUUCCAUUAAGCAUUUUAAAAUGGAAGUAAAAAAUUGCAUGUAAAUCCAGUAACUGUAUUCAUGUGAAAAGGGUUGCUUUAACUAUUUUUGUCUUAAAAAACUAACUUGGUGAAGAAGGUUAUUUUAAGUGUUUAUAAGAAAUAAUUAUUCAAAAGAGAGUUUUCUGUGUUUUUGUUAUUUUUGCUGUUACUGUGAUGAAACACCAUGACCAAAGCUACUUGGGGAGGAAAGGGUUUAUUCAGUGCAUGCUUCCACAUGACAGUUCAUCAUCAAAGGAAAUCAGAGCAGGAACCUGGAGGCAGGAGCCACUGAGGAGUACUGCUUGCUGGCUUGCUCCAUGAGGAGUACUGCUUGCUGGCUUGCUCCAUGAGGAGUACUGCUUGCUCCAUGAGGAGUACUGCUUGCUGGCUUGCUCCAUGAGGAGUACUGCUUGCUGGCUUGCUCCAUGAGGAGUACUGCUUGCUGGCUUGCUCCAUGAGGAGUACUGCUUGCUGGCUUGCUCCAUGAGGAGUACUGCUUGCUCAGCCUACUUUCUUAUAGAACCCAGGACCACCAGUCUGGGGAUGGCAUCACACACAGUGGGCUGGGUUUCCCCCAUCAAUCACUAAGAAAAGGCUCUACAGGCUUGCCUACAGCCUGAUCUUAUGGAGGCAUUUUCUUAAUUGACGUUCCUUCUCUCAGAUGACUUUAGCUUGUGUCAAGUUGACAUAAAACUAUCUAGCACAGUUAGAAACAUUUACCCCUAUUGUCUGUAGCAGGAAUUUUGUUGCUAACUCCCUCUUCAUGGAUCUUUCUGCAUGUCCUUCUUGACUUUCUCCAAGCUAAAUUAAUCUCAGCACUUUAUAGUUUAAAAAAAGAAGGUAGGGGAGUUGAGUUGUAGGUGAUGUAUUUGACCUGCAUUUAGAGUCUUAUCCCAGUGAUAUUUGUUGGUAUAGAUAGCUUUGGGAAAUAUCAUGCAAUGAUUAAAGGUUUCUUUGUUCUGCUUGAUUUUCAAAUUGAGUUCUAAGUGUUCAAUUGCAAAGUCCUCAGGCUUCAUUCUUUUUAUCAUCAUGAAGUCUUAGAUGCAGUGCUGCUAGCUCUUUCUGACAUCACUUCUUGGAGCAGACAGACUGUAGUCCAAAUUUUCUAGCAAAAGUUUUAGAGAAUCUGUGCUGUUAAUAUAACCAGUGAAAUUACCCAUGAUUGGCCCAGUUGCCUUAGACCUUAAGCAGUGCCGAGGCUGGUGGAGUUUUCCUGAUUGUGGUAGUAUACCCGCAGCUAGUAUACUAGCAGGUCUCACACCAAGUGUAGCUGAGAUACCACCUUUUACCCCCAAACCCUUGUUCCCCAGAUUCCUCCCUCCCUCUCCUCCUACUCCUCUUCCCUCUUCCAUGUUUCUCUUUUUGUUAUUUGAUUUUGGAGUUUUCAAGGUUCGACUGAGAAAUGUCCUCCAUAGGCUCAGGCAUUUGAACGUGUGAUCCCCAGGUGCUGGUGCUGUUUGGGGAGGUUUAAGAGGGUAAGCCUGCUGGAGGAGGUACAUCCCUGAGGGUGCCCACUAACAGUUCUCUCUCUGCUUUGUGCUUGUUAAAGAGGUGAUAGUUGAGCUUCCUGCUGCUGCUGCUGUACCUGCUGCUUAUUGACUUGCUUACCUGCCAUGAUGGCCUCUUUACUCUCUGGAACAGUAAAUACAAACUCUUCUAUAAGUGUAUGUCUUGUGGUAUUUUAUCAGAGCAACAGCAGAAGAACUAAUAUAAGUUUGCUUCUUUAUUUUGUUUGUUUUUAGACAGGCUAGCCUGGAACAUGUAUUACUAAUCAAUCCUUUUGUCUCUGAAUAUUUCCAACUCUCCCCUCUCCCAAAGCACUGAGGUUACAAGUGAAUGCUGCAGCUUCCAGCUUUUUACCUGAGUGGUAGGGGUUGAACUGAGGGCCAUAUGUGUGCACAACAGGCACUUACCCAACUGAGUCAUCUCCUCGCCUUCAUACUUUCCUUUAAAGCUUUAGAACAGGGAAUAGCGAUCCAUACCUAUAAUCACAUCAUUCAAGAGGCAGAGGCAAAGGCAAGAGGAUUCCUGCAGAUUUGAGGCCCAGCUGAUCUACAUUGUGAAUUCUAGGCCAGCCAGGGCUACAUAGUAAGACCCAGUUUCAGAAUAUAAAACAAAAAGUGUAAUAGAAUUUGUGUUUCUCCUUUUCCCUUCUUCUCCUUUUCUUCUUCUCAAGCUGGAGAUGGGUUCCUAGUCCUCACACAUAUUAGGACAGAGCCACAUCCCUAGUCCUCUGCUGUUCCCUUCUUGUGAUGUAAUUGCAUUCCCUGGUGUCCAUAUCCUCACUAGAUUUCAAGUUGUAUAAGGGCAUAGCCUCUAAUUGGUUUACUUUUGGUGCCUGGCUUAAGAAGAUAGUCACUAAAUAAUGAAUGAAAAAAAGUAACUGUUGAAAUAUAUUGCAUGUAUGAAUGAAAUUCUCAAACUAUAAAAAAUUAAGAAAUAAAAACAUUUUAAAUUAUGGAAUUAAAAAAGUUUUCAUUUAGUUAAAAUUAUUCCUACUUAUUUGCUUGAUAAUAUUGGAUAAAUGAUUUAAGCAAGUUUUUCUUUGAUAUUGUUUACUAAUUUAAAGAAAAUUUUCAUUAUUUUUCUUUUUUAGGAUAAGGAUAGCCCCAUUUGUUGGAAUUGAUUGUGCUACCUUCUACUAUGCCUCCCAUAACAAUUAGAGUAGUAUAAUAGUGUAUUUCCUGAUGUCAUCCCUGACAUCCGGUAUUGAUGACUGAGUAAAAGAAUGCUAAUUUAGAGUUUAAAAACACAUAAGGUUUUUACAAACAUUCCCCCCCCCCCUUUUAAACAUUCUUGACCCUUAGGCCUAGUAUGGUUGUCAAGUGAACCUUUUGGGGAGCUGGAGCAGAACCUGGCUUUGGAAGGACACCUCCAGAGCUCCAGGGACCUGUUUCCUUGUAUGCUCACUGCCUGAUACAGAGUGUCCUCUGACACAGUAGCAUUCUAUUCCAAGCCAUUCCAAAUGUGGUUGGCUGUGUCAUGUGCUUCUCCUACCUCUCUAAUUGUAGAGGUUGGAGUGACAGCAUUGAAUCAAAAUUUGUAGAUGAGAUGAUGAACUCAGAUUAUACAAUUGAUGCUGUAUUUGGAGGAUAGGACUUUGAGGUUGUUGGCCUUUUUUUUUUUAACAUAAGUUUCUUUAUAAUCUGUAUAUAAUUUUUAAAGGUUUCCAUUUUUAUCAGGAAAAUGCACCUUGUGAAGUUAAUGAGGUAAAUCAAAUGUAGCCUCUUCACACAAGCCUCAUGGAUAUGCUAUUAGUUUUUAUAUUUUGGGUUUAUCCUUAGUUUAGAUGUGUAGUUUUAGAAGCCACAACUACAUAACUAUAAGAAUGCAGAAUAGAAUAGAAAUUGUUUUUUGUCAAAGAAACAAGAUUUUGCAAACCUAAAAAUUAAUUCUUUUAUGUUUGCUUGGCAGUCUGAUGGUUAUAGGAUUCUAAAGUGAAGGAAGGGCCAGAGAGAUGAUUCAGUCAGUAAAGUGCUUGUCACCUAAUCAUGAGGACCUGAGUUCAUGUACACUCAAGACUCAUGUAAAAACCUGGCCUCAGUGCCAUUUGCUUGUAAUACCAUCAUUGGUGAGAUGGAGACAGGAAGGCCCCGCAGGAUAGUGGAAUAAUCAGUGAGCCUCCGGUUCAGAAGACCGUUAUCUCAAAAACUCAGGUAGAACUCUAUUGAGGAAGACACCCAGUGCCAACCUCUGGCCAACCACAUAUCACAUGCACAAAACUCUAAAUCUAAAUAAAAAUCAUUUUAAUUUAGAAAUUUGAAGAUAUUACUCUUGUCUUAUGGCUUCCAAUAUUGUAGCUGAGAAAUCACAAAAGAUACAGGAUUUUUAUAAAUUUUCUUUCUAAUAAUUCAGAAUAAUCUAAUUUGAGUUUUGUUUGGAGAUUUCUACAGAUUAAUACUGAUACUCAUCUUUUCUGUCUGGAGGCAUCUCAUUCUAGGGAAUGUUCUUACAUGAUUUUCACAAUUUCAUCACUUUUUUGGAUUUGGUUGUUCAUAAGAUUUUCAAGGGGAGCUUCCUUUAUGGAAACCCUAUUGGGUUUCUCGUUUUGUUUUGUUUUCCCCCAAUUUCUUCCCCUACCCCUUCUCUCUCUCAGCUUUUGGAGACAAGAUUUCUCUGUGUAACCUUAACUGUCCUGGAGCUCUGUAGAACAGGUUGGCCUUGAUCCACCUGCCUUAGCCUUACAGUACUGACUGGGAUUAAAGGCCUGCACCACCACUGCCCAGCCUUCUUCCUGAUUUCUGUCAGAUCACCUUUACAUUGUACUUCUAGAAUUUUUCGUAAAUAUUAUUUGUAGUGAAUUAUGCAAGUGUUUUAAAUUCAACUAUCAAAUUUUUAAUUUCCAAGGACCUGCUUUUACAAGCUUCUUUCUCUCCUUAAUGACCUCGAAUGUGAUGUUUGACAUUUUCUAAAGCAAAGACAUAUCUGUUCUGUGUGAAGGCUGAUGCUAACACAGAAUAAAGAAGUCAAACUUGACAGUAGAUACCCACCACCCAUGCAUUUUCUUUUUACCUAGUUUGCUAAUGUAGAGUCCUUGCAUUGCUAAACCAUACCUGAAAAUCCAAAGAGAGGAUUUUAUUUAAGCUUGUUUAUUUUGCCGUGCUGGGGAUUGACCUCAAUAUAGAGUAGGCAGCCACUGUAACAUUGCUACACCCCCAGCCCAGUUUGUGAACAUUUUGAUAAAGUCAUAGUCUUUUUUUUUUUUUAAGGUUAUAUUGGACAUGGUAAUGUCUAUUAUCUCAGCACUCAGGAGCCCCUGUCUCCACAAGAAAGCUGUAACCUGUAACAGAGUUGUAAUUUAAAGCUUCUACAACAGUAUGCUAUUUACUAUAAAUUGUAAUGUGGGAUACUUAAAAAAAAUUUUUUUUCAAGAUACAUUAAGUUCUGAAAGAUUAGAAACAAAGGGUUAAGAAAAGAUAUCUAAACACACACACACAAAAAAGAAAGUAGAUUUAGUUAUAGCAUAUAAAGCAGAAAAAACAAAAACAUUAGUUAUGGUAAAUACAGUUUUAUUUGCUAGUCAGUUACAGCAUGUUUUAGAACUACACAAAACAGCCUAGUGUGGAGGCCCAUGUCUUAAUCACAACACUUCCAUUACUCUGGAGUCAGAGGCGAGAUGAUUUCUCUCAGUUCUAGGACUACCAGAGGUACAUAGAGAAAAUUCAUCUGAAAACAAAAAGAACCAAAAUAAAUAAAAUAAAAACACAUAAAACAAAAUGGAUAAAAAUGACAUGUUUAUUAUUAUGAUAGGUGAUUUUGACAUAUUUCUUCUACUUAUUGAAGAUCAAGUAGCAGAAAAGUGGAGACUACAAAUUACUUCAGAGCUGGGCAUGGUAAUGCUCAGGCUCAAAAACCAACAAGUAACAAAACUCUUAAAAACUAAAAACCAUUUAUUUGAUGUAAUAUACAUGCAUGAGUUGAGUGUUCUACUUAAUGUUAGAAAAACAAAUCCAAAGAAAAUAGAAUUAGUAAAGCUGUAAGAGUCAAAUUAAUGAACUAGGAAUGAUUGCAUAGGAGAGAAUUAAAAGAACAAAAAAAGAAACUAAAAAUUAUUUGUUUAAAAUAGAUGAACCUGUCCCCUUCCCCCAGAGAUCAAGCUUAGGUAUAAAUAAUCACAAUUUUAAAUGUAACCUUUUUACAAAUCUGAAAGGUAAGAGAACAUUGUUAACAUUUAAAUUUCUAAAUUAAGUAUAUUGGGAAUGGGGUAUGUCUACCAGAGUGCAGGUGCCAAGGAAAAUGGGAACUGGAGCUCCAAUUACAGGUGGUUGUGAGCUGCUUAAUGUGGGUUCUGGGAUACAAAUUCAGGUCUCUUGCAGAACAGUUGUGCUCUGAACUGCCGAGCCAUCUUUCCAGCCUCUGUUGUUAAUAUUUGUCAUAUCAGUUAGUAUAUAUGUGCCAAGCAGAAUUUUAAGGAUUGUAGAGAAUUGUACUCAUUUACUUACUACUCAAGACAACUAAACAAACUAAAUAAUAGCUCCUCAUGUUAUAGAUGAAGGAGCUCAUCAGAGACAUUUCAGAAAUUAUAUAAUCUUCCCAGUGCCUAAGACAGUGUUUUUCAACCUGGCUAAUGCUGUGACUGUUUAAUACAGUUCCUCAUGUUGUAGUGAUCCCAACCAUAAAAUUAUUUUCAUUGCUACUUUAUAACUUUAUUUUUGCCACUGUUAUGAAUCAUAAUGUUUUAAGACCAUCAUAAUCUGUUUUCUGAUGGUCUUAGGUUACCCCCCCCCCCGAAAGGGUCACUUUACCCUUCCAACAAAAGAGUCAUGACCCACAGGUUGAGAACUGUUGGCCUAACAGGUGUCUGGAGAGAGGGGGUGAGGGAGGGAAAGGGAACAGAGGAGAGGAGAGGAGGGGUGGACAGAGAAAGCACAUGCACACUACAUAGUUGGAACAUGGCUUGUCCUUUCUGAAAUGCCUGCUGGAGUUUAAUCAGUAUUUUGGCAUAUUGUAAGGAUAGAAUUUAACCCAACUAUGGUUUUAGAGGCGUGGCCUUAAGAAGGUGAUUAGAAUAUUAGAUAAGAUCAUCAGUCUGGAGGCUACAUGAUUAAACUUUUUUUUUUUUUUUUUUUUUUUUGGUUUUUCAAGACAGGGUUUCUCUGUAUAGCCCCUGGCUGUCCUGGAACUCACUUUGUAGACCAGGCUGGCCUCGAACUCAGAAAUCCGCCUGCCUCUGCCUCCGCCUCCCGAGUGCUGGGAUUAAAGGCGUGCGCCACCACGCCCGGCUAUGAUUAAACUUUUAAGAAGAGAAAGAAAAUAUCAAAGGAGAUACAUUCUGUCUAUUGUCCUGUACUGCCUUGGGGCUCUGCCCACAAGAACCCUAUUAUUACCUGAACUGUGAACUUAAAUAAGCCUUUUUCUUUAUAGUUUACCCAGUAAAAUUUCGAUGUUUUUUUCUUUCUCUGUAAAGUGAAAUAAAACUUAUUUGUUAGAAGGAUUUUUAGUCUAACAUUCUUUCAUUUUGAACUGUAUGUUACCGUUAUUUAUUAAAGGAGAAAGACUAUAUGAUUAUUUGAAAAAAGAUUUAUUUGAUAAAACUCAGCUUUUGUUUGUUGUAAAAAGAAAAAAGUUUUUAGCAAAUUUAGAAGGAUGUUUUCUUAACAUUGGAUAGAUUAAAUGUGUCUGCCAAUACUACAGCCAACUUAAUUUGGGAAAGAGUGCUGCAUACAUUGACAUUAGCUCGCAAAGACCAAAAUUUUGGACUAGUACCAGAUAUUAGCAAGAAUGUGGAGUGACGAGAACACUUGCAUAUUCCUUAUGGGAGUAUAAAUUGGUACAAGGACUUUAGGAAGUAAGUUAUCUAUCUGGCCUUUUUAGUGAAGUAGAAAAAGUUCAUAUCCUUUGGCUAGAUGUUCCAAGACAAUUAUUUCUUGCAGGAUUUUCAUAUACAUUUCUGUUAUUUCCCAACUCUGGGAUACUGUCACAGUAUGACUGUGGCUAUAAAUACCAUUCACUUGUUUUGUGUCUAGACCUAAGAUGGGAAGGGUAGUGUGAGUUCUUCAUGCCAUCACCUCUGGAAACAGUCCAAUCCCUAACACCUUUGUGAAGGAAGUUGCCUUAGAGGGCAACAGAGCCUACAGUAGACCUUAAAUCAGAAGGAAACCUUGUAUUAAGCUCUUGUUUAGUUUCUUUUCCUCUUCAUCCCUUUCUUCCUCUGGUCCUGUCUUUUGUCAUGUUCUGGCUAGUUUAUUUCAAUACACACUCCCCUGUGUGUAUUGUAGUAAAGAAACUUUCAUUCAGUGAUCAGGAGGUAUAUGUGAAGAAUGUUGACAAGAACGCAUAUGAUGUGGUUUCUAGGUUGUAGAGUAGUUCUUUCAGAAAAGGAGGGAGAGUCAUUGUCUCUAGAGUCUUAGAAACCAGCUAAAUGGCUCUAAUGACUUGGGGGUAUUAAGUAUUUUCUUCUUUUCUGAUAAAUUGGUCAGGAAAUGCUUUGGAUUUAUAUACUUUUCCCUUAUGGAAUAGAAAUUUGGCUUCUCAUUUUUAUGACUGCUACCUUAUUUUGGUCUUGUUUUACUUUUGCACUAUAGUAGGUCUCUGGGAAUCAUUGUAUCUUACAAAUACACCCAGGGACUGAUGCUAUACUUCAGUGGUAAAGUGAAAAACUAAACAAUAACAACUUCCCCCUCCAAAUAUGCAAACCAGUCGACCUUAAUCCCCAACUCCUCCUUUUAUCCUGCCUGUAUCCUGCUGUAAUUACCCCAGAGCCAGGAAUAAUACAACUUAGGAUCUUCAGCCAUACUCUAGAGACUGCUGAAGUUACUCAAGCUAGCCAGCCUUGCCUUACUUUACUUAGUCCAUUCUCCCCCAUUGAAGCCAUUAAAGGGACUGGCCACUUUUCUUCUCUGUGUCUUACCUUCUAACCCACCCUGGCACUUUAUUUGCCAAAUGUGGAAAGUGAUAUACCUCUUUUUUUUUUUUUUUUUUUUUUUGAGAAUUCCUGAGUAUAAACCUUUUCCUUUAUUAUAGUCAGUUUUGUGUCUACAUCGCCAUCCUAACUUUACUUAAGUUGAAACAAUUUCCCAGUAUAUUUUACAGUAGUAUACAUUGGGGCUUCAGAGAUGGCCCAGUCUGUAAUUUGCUUGCCUCACAAACGUGAGGAUUGAGAUUGACCCUCAGCAACCUUGAAAAUGUUUGGAACUGUGGUGCGUUUGUAUUCCUAGUGCCAGGACAGCCAGGUGGGUGCCAGGACAGCCAGGUGGGUGCCAGGACAGCCAGGUGGGUGCCAGGACAGCCAGGUGGGUGCCAGGACAGCCAGGUGGGUGCCAGGACAGCCAGGUGGGUGCCAGGACAGCCAGGUGGGCGGAUGGAUCCCUGGGCUGGAUGGUGAUCUCUAAGCCAGUGAGAGACCUGUCUCAAAGAAGGCAAACAGUAUUACUGAGGAUGACACAGGUUGUCCUUUGUCCUCCACAUGCAUCACACAUGUGUUCAUGCAUGCCAGGAAACACAACCCCACAUACAAGUGAACAAACACACACAUAUGCAUUUUAAAAAUGUGUAACAACUACUGCAGUCAUAACAGGAUUGAUUUACUUCCAAAGUGCCCCAUACUCCUUUGUAGUUAAUAAUCACUUCUGAUUUUCCCCCAAGAAAAUCUCUGGUCUGCUUUCUCAGUCACUGUAGAUUAAUUUUAUCUAUCUAAAAUUUCAUGUAAUAAAAUUUUAUGUAUUCUUUGUGUAUGUUUCUUUUACUUUUAAUAGUCAUGAAAAAAUACUCAGUCUUUCUUGCACUUCCUAUUAUAAAAUUUAAUUCUUCCUGUUCAUCCAGCACCAUUUCUUUGAAAGAUGUCAUCUAUUUCUUAGCCCUUUAACCGCAUGUCUUAUAUUGAUAUGUCACAGUUUAGAGGGAGUUUUCUGGGGCCUUUACAGAGGAAAUAAUGAGUUGUCACGUUAUCAUUAGGUAAUAAUUAUGCAUAAUUUUAAAAUGGAGAAAUUGAGAGAUUUUUGCUUUUCUAGUUAAAGCACAAUAUAUGAUGUAUAUAAGAUGUUUAGUAGUAAGAUUGCUUGCUUUAGAACUUAACCUCAAUCCAAAACAAGAUCUUUAGCCCCAAGGAACCUAGCAUCUAAUGGCUGAGAUUCUGUGGAUAUUUUAAAAGAGUACAUAGUGCUUUUCUUCCUAGAGUGAAUCACGGUGGCCCUCUUUACAAAUCCUUUGGAUUAUCCUCUCUGAAUUCAUCUCAGUCUUCUAGGGUAGUCUUUUGGCAUGUGACUGAUUUGGUCUGUAGGUCUUUAAGGUGGUUUUGAGGUGCCACUCUAGUAACAUGGGCAUAUCUGUUGAAAUAGUUAGCUCAGAUUGAAUUUAUAGGUCAUAAGGUAGGUAUAAGUCCAGGACUUUAUCAGCUCCUGCUACAUCAUUAUCAUUAUCGUCAUUAUUAUUAUUAUUAUUAUUAUUAUUAUUAUUAUUAUUAUUAUUUGAGACCAGUUUAGGCUAUACAGGCAUGGCUCACCUGAAAUUCAGUGUCUAGUUCAGGCUAGUCCCAAACCUGGGGAAAUCCCCUGCCUAUUCUCCUAAGUUAACUGCAAUAAACUAAACAGUUCAGUAGCAUUUGGUAUAUUCACAAUGUAAAGUAACUGUCCUCUUAUCUAGUUACAAACAUUUUUGUUAGUGCAAAGUAAAACUUCAAGUGCAUCCAGGGGUUUCUCUUUUUCUUCCCCUCAAAGCACCCUGGUAACUACCAAUCUCCAUUCUCUGGAUUUACCCAUUUUGGAUAUUAUAUAAACAUGGAAUCUUGUGACCUUUUAUGUCUUGACUUUCCUUUGAAUGACUUCACUGUUCAUUCGUGUUGUAGCAUGUAUCAGUGCUUUACUUCUGUAGUUGAAUGUUCUAUUAUGUUCUGUAUAAGUCUGUAUAUACCCAGUCACUGGUGAAUAUUGGGACAACUUUCUUUCUACCUUCUGGUUUUUGUGACUGGUGCUACUAUGAACAUGCAUGUACAUACUUUGACUAGAGUUGUGUGAAUGUUGCACAUGACCAGAUGCAUAGAGUUACUAACUAUCACCAGUGAUGUUGAACAACUCCAGUGCCAUAAAUAAAUCUCUGAUGCUACCAUCCAUCUUUUAAAUAGAUUUCUUGCUUACCUCUAGCUGUUGUAACUACUGGCCUCUUCUCUGGCUUCAUAGCAGCAGACAAGUUUAGAUAGUAUUUUCUCUAGAGCUUGGGUUUCCUUAAGUAUUAUAGCAGGUGUCUCAGAAGUUACAUUUUUGGAUUGGUAAUAAUGUCCUACAAAUAAGUUAGACAUUUUUAUAAUUAAGUAUUUACUGAAUUUAGUUUUUUCACAUUAAUUUUAAAUAUAUAUACAACUAAAAUUACUGGCAUAUGUUGUAGAAAUUUUUAAUCCCAAUCUGGGGCUUCUACCCUGCCUUUGAUCAUUCAUUUCCCAGGUAAAAGACACACAACUUUUAUUAUUUACAAUAAGCCUUAAUCAGUACUAGAGCUGGGCAGAUAUCUACCCUCUAUACUAUUAGAAUUUACUUUCCUAUGGAUAGCCCUGAGUUAUUAUCUAUUUCGUUUCAUCUGGGCUGCUCUUCAAUUGGUGAGCUGUCAGGGCCAUGCUUUCUGGAUUCCUAAUCCAUGGUGUCUUUUCUCCUCCUCUGUCUUCUUCUCUCUCCCUUCGUGGUCUUCUUCACAUCAAGGCCAGGAACAUCAAGUCUUGUCUAUCUCAAAUCUGCUCAACUAUAGGCUGUAGGCAUCUUUAUUUACCAAUCAGAAAUAACUUGGGGGCAAGGUCACAAAGUGUCACUUGGGUCUACAUGUGGACUCUUCUCUCAUCUCUGGGGCAACCAGGUCUCAGGAGUCCACAUUACAAUAUGUAGCAACAGACCAAAUGUCAUCAUGCAUAAAAAUUCAGAUUUAACUAAAAAACAGAAAUAACUAGCAAUAAUAUUAUCCUCAGGCAUUUUACAAGUCCAGCAUAAAAAUGUUAUGAUUAACUAAUUAGGUUGGAUUUUUUUAAUUAAUUAUUUCUUAGCCUUACUAUUUUGUUACAUGUGGGUAAGAUCCUUUGAGAGUUUAUAUUUUCUUUCUGCUGAAUUCUCCAGUUGAAUACCUGGUCAUGUCUUCACAUUUUAACUUAAAAUUUCAGAGGAAAGAUUGUUUAGCUUUCUGAAGGCAUAGCAUGAACAAUCAAAUAACUGUUUGCAGGAAAACAGCCUCGUUGUCUUCUGGUACCAGUUGGUCUUAUGUCGACUUGUCUUCUGUCUCCUAUCUUAUUUGUAGUAGUUUGGAAUGAGAAACACACACUAAUAAUGUUUUACUGCAGCUUAGCUAUGCAUUAGAAUCUUUCUUGCUUUUUUAACUUGGGCUUCUGAGAAACUGAUAGUUUACAUAGGUCAAAUCCAUUGUAAUUCUUUAAUAUAGAAAUCAUAGAUCCUGUAUGGAAAUGUUCUUGUUUGUUCUGAUACUGAUAAUAUAUGUGAUAUUCUAAAUUAUGACUUAGUUGAAUAUAGUUUGUGAUCCUCAGAGGUUACUGAGUGCAUAAGUAAAUGUUUAUUAUUAUCACAUAUUUGGCUCUCUAGAUCCCUUCCUCAAGAAAAGUGCUUCCCUUAGGCGAAUGCUUAAUUCAGGUGGCUGUUCCUUAAAAUAUUUCUGAUUUAUACUAAAAAUUAUUGGUCUCGAAGAAAUUUGCAAGUCCUUAAAAUUAUAUUGACAAUUUCAGUUGUAUACCAAUUCUUGUUUUGGUGUUCAGUAGCUGUUUAACUCAUCAGCAUGCAGAACCAAGUGUUGGGGCACUAUAUUUCAUACAAGGAGGAAAUGACCUUCGUGAUGUGAAUCGAGUACUCUUGUAGUAACAGAAAGCCAUGUGAGUUUUCAAAAAGAAAAUCUUAACAAAAUGUAAUAGAAAAAUAUGAAAUGAGUCAGAUGAGUAACUCUAAGAUGUAUGGUUUUCAAGUUAGCCUGUUCUUCAAAGUCUCACCCCUAAGACUUGCUUGGUGGUGUUAGCACCAAGGAGAAACCACAGCUGGCAUAUUGCCUUUAUGCUGUUUGAAAAAUGACUCUUUGUUUUCAAGAAUGUAAAGGAGUGGUAGAUCUAUUUUAAAAACUGAUGUCUAGGAAAGGGUUUUGCUUGCUUUUACACUAAAAUAUUUUCUUAAGUAUUAUACAGUUUUUACCCAAAUGUAAACAGUUAAAUUAUGAAGAGGAAAAAAGCAUCAUCCCAACAUAGAAAUUAUAACUAGGACAAAAACGGCAUUACAGAAAGAAGGAAAGCCCAUUUCUUAGAGCAGAGGACAUUCCAUUGUUACAUUUUAAGAAAUGACUUACAGUUAUUAUGCUUUACAGUUUAUUAACAUAGAUUCAUGUUUGAAGAAUUUGAUAUGAAAUAGUAAUAUAGAGAAGGAAAAUGAGAGAAUGGAAGGGAAAAAAAAGCUAAUCUGAAAGAAAAACAGAAAUGGCACACCUGAAAAAGGAGGAUAUCUUUCUGUCUGUCUGUCUGUCUGUCUGUCUGUCUGUCUGUCUGUCUGUUUAAGCAUGGUCUCUUUCCGUGCCAUUGGCUGACCUGGAACUCACAGAGAUUAUUCUGUCUCUAUCUCCCGAAGUUGGGAUGAAAGACCUGUGAACCACAAUGGCUGAGAAUACCUUUUUUAUUUAUUUAUUUUUUUAAUUAUAUAACCUUACUGAAAACCAUGUUUGUAAAGCAAGCUAAAAUCUAUUUGAAUUACCUGUGAAGACAGCAGGAAAUCUUUUGUUUCAAACAAAUUUUUUGUUUAUUCAGAAGUAGUUUUAACAUAGAUCUAAAUGCCAGUGGUACAGAGAAAGGUGGGGGAGGAUCAGAAAGGAGGAAGGGAAAAAGAUAUAGAUCAGAAUCAUUUGAAUUUACUUUUCUUUUUACUAGCUUAAAUUUCCAAACUACCAUUAAGAAUCAGUGUUGAGCCAAGGGUAUAUAUAUGGAUUAUUGGAGGGCAUUUGCCUAUCGUGUUUAAGGAUCUCUGAGAUUAAUUUCCAGUACCACAAAAUUAAUUACUCAAUUUAAAAAUUAAGCUUUUUUUUUUUUUUUUUUUUUGCAACCAUCCCAAAUUUAUAGUCUUCCUUCACACUGUGUCUCUAGCUUGUCUCUUGGCUAGACACAUAUUUUCUCUGUGGAAUCCUAUCAGAGAAUGGCAUUCUUAAUUGGUUUCCCUAUAAACUAUUUUUUUGGUGUCCUGGUAAACCCAUACUGCUUCUCAGAUAAAAGCAUUUAAAUAUUUUUAAAUUAAGACUAUUAGUAGUGUGAUUAUUUUAUUCUAUACAUGGAAGUGUUUUACCUGUAUGUAUGUAUGUUAUGUCUGGGCACCAUAUCCUGGUGCCAUUGAAGUUCAGGAGAGAAUGUGCAGACCCACUAAGACUGGAGUAACAGAUGAUUGUGAGCCACCAUGUAGGUACUAGGAAUCUAGUGCUUUUAACCCUUGAACCAUAUCUCCAACCCCUGUUUUAUAAAUUCUUAGAAUAUACAAAGGAUUAUGAGAAAAACACAUUGUAUUGAAAAUAUAUGAUCAUUUUCUAGGUAGCUGCGUCUAAUAUCACAGUCAGUCAGUAUGUGGCAGAGAAGAUUUAAAUCUAAUUUCUGCUGAUCCAGAACCCAUUCUUAAGUUUCUGCCAUGUUAGGUGUGGAUAAUCAUUUUUGGUCUCAGCAUAUUGUCUCUUACUUAGAUUGUAAGUAAAUAGUCUGUUGUAUUAGGCACUUGUGUUGCUAUAUUAGUCUUAUUAGCGUACACAUAUACAGAGAUAUCCUUUGGCUUGUGGAAGAACAUGCCAAUAAAUGUUAAAACAUAACCCUACUGAAAAACCAUGUUUGUAAAACAAGCUAAAAGUGUCUCUUUUGUGAACUAGCAAGGUAAUUUAACAUGGUGAUUUUAUUGAAGUUUAUAGUUCCAUACUCAGAUUUGUUUGUUUGUUUGUUUGUUUGUUUGCUUGCUUGUUUGCUUGUUUGCUUGCUUGCUUGCUUGCUUGCCUGCUUCCAUUUCUCCCUCUCUUCAUAUAUCCCCGUGGAAGAACAAUCAGACUGAGCUAAGGUUUCAUAAAUGAUAAGUGGCAGUACCACUGGGCUGCGUCUCUAUAAAGUCAGUAUUUUCUGCUAGACUCGUCAUCUUAGCACUGUGAUUAAUAGAGCUUAUUUUUCAUUUGCUGGUUAGCAGUAUAGAUAGCUUCUAAGAGUUUGUGCAUGGGCACACAGAAAUUGAAAAGAACUUUUUCCAUUUUUUUUUGUUUGUUUACAAAGUAAAUAUGAAUUCCUUAUAAGUGUUGAACUUCUGAAGAGCUUUGUUGUAGCUAUGGUUGCCUGAGCCCUGUGCUCAGGGCAGCUUUUACUGAGUGGAAAGCACUAUACAUAAAGUGACCCUAGAAAUUCCACUAUUAUGAGGCAUGGUGCCCAGGUGGUGGCACUAUUUUGGAGGUGGGGCCUAGCUAGAGGACACAGGCAAGAAGGGUGCGCUCUCCGUUGGUAUCUUCUGCCUCUCACCACCCUUUCCUCUCCCUUUCCCCCUCUCCUUCCCUACUUUUGUUUUUUUCUCCUUUACCUCUUUCCUAGUCUCUUCUCUUCCUUGUUCUUCCCUUUUCCUCUCCCUUCUCUCUUUCCUUCUCUUUCUCCCAUUUUCAUUCUCCUCUCUUCUCUCCUUUUUACUUAUCUUUUGUCUGUUUUUUAUUUUUCUGAUUUCAUGAAGUAAAGAACCACUUCUUUACUCUUGCACAAACAUUAACAGCAAACACUAAACAUUGUCGGCAUUCUUGGUCUGCGCCCAGCUGCCAGGUAGGGCUUAAUUUACAAGGAUGUUUAGAUUGAUUUCUUUUUUUCAUACACUUUGUGGUAGAAGAGAUGAAAGAAAGUACCAAGUUACUCUGAGAAAUCCCACUUUCAGUGAAACAAAAAAGUGAUGUUACUUACAAAACUGUAGAAAUAGAUAGAUGAAGCCAUUUGCAAAAGUGGGUUUUGUCGUUGACAUGAAACCCCUUAAAGACUCCUAGCGCCUGCCCCAUGGUUCUGUUGCUAGGAUUUUACUUUUUGUAUUGCUGCACACAGAGUCUUUUUGAGUUAAAUUCAUUCUUGUUAUAUCAGCUGACACUUUUGUUGUUUUAGAUGAAUAUAGUUCAACGUUAUUAUUAACCUGGCUUGGAAGUUGUACAUAACUGGAGUUUUUAGUGAUUCUGCCAAGUGGAAUUGCCUAAGAGAAAUAAGAUGCCAGUAAUGUACAGCUUAAUUCAAGAUGUUAUUUUAAAAUAUGUUAAGAAAAAAAUCACCCUAUGUCUAGUUCUAAACUUGGUGAUUCAGUUGUUUUAAAAUGCAUGGAGAGAAAAAUUUAAAUGCUGGCACUCGAUCAUUAAUAAUUUUACUUGAAGAAUUUAUCUUUUAUUUAUUGGAGACAGGCCUUAAUAUAUGGCCCUGGUGAGCCUGGAACUGACUAUGUAGCUCAGGCUGGCCUCAAAUUAUUAAUCCUCUCAUGUUCACUUAGGGAGCACAUAUACUAAUAUUGGAAAGAUAUAGAGAAAAGAUUAGUGUGACCCUGCACAAAGAUGACAUGCCAUUUUUUGAAGCAUUCCAAUAUUUUUUCUUAUUGGGACUGGCUUCAUCUAGAAUCAAGUUUUUAAAAAGGGGAACCCAUAUGUUCUUCUGAGACAAAAGCUGUUCAUUGUGUGAGAAAUGAGUGAACUCAGCUGAUUAGAGUCACACUGUGGAAGUUUCUAUUUUACUUGCAGUUGGUAACCAAGAGUGUAGAUAUUUCUUCAGAGGGGCAGGCUUAAAUAACGGAGUAAAUAUUUGGGAUAUAAAGCUUAAUUCUAUAAGUGCUUACCUCUCCCCAACUUUGUGGAAUUGAUGAUAUUUCAUUUGAUUUUUUUUUGCAUUAUUUUAUAGUACCUAAAAGUAAAGAUAUUUUUAAAAUUUGGUGAUGAUGGAGAGUUUUGAUAAAUCCUGAUGUUGAUCUAACUGAAGUUGGCAAAUGUGUUUUUAUAUAUGCUAAGAAUUUCUAAUUCUGGGACACAACGAUGAAAUGACUAUUGGUUGAAAAAUUCUAAUCAUGGGAAACAGGAGGAAAGACCUGAGGGCCAGCAGAAUGAAUGAAAAUAUGCAAUCUCAGGGGGUGGGAUGCUGGGGGACCCUCUAGAAAGUAUCAGAGACCUGGGAGGUAAGAGACUCUUGGGACUCAAAGGGAGGGACCUUAAUUAAAAUGCCUAAAAGUGGGGAGAGGGAACUUGUAGAGUCCACCUCCAGUAGAAAGACAGGGCAUCAAGUGGAGGGAUGGGGUUGUCAUUCCACAGUCAAAAACUCUGACCCAGAAUUAUUCCUGUCUAAAAGAACUGCAGGGACUAAAAAGGAGAAGAGACUGAGGGAAAGGCGGUCCAGUGAAUGGCCCAACUUGGGAUCCACUUCAAGGAGAGGCUUCAAGAUGUGACACUAUUACUGAUGCUAUGGUGUGCUUACAGACAGGAGCCUAGCAUGGCUGACCUCUGUGAGGCCCAACAAGUAGCUGACUGAAACAGAUGCAGAUACUUAACACCCAGUCAAUUGUCUGAAGUCGGGGACCCCUGUGGUUGAAUUAGGGAAAGACUAGAAGCAGCUGAGGAGAUGGGUGACCCCCAUAGGGAAGACCAGCAGUUUCAACUAACCCAGACCCCUGAGAUCUCUCAGACACUGAGCCACCAAUCAGGCAGCAUACAUGAGUUGGUAUGAGCACCCCAAGGGCCCCCCACACCUCUCACACUCAUAUACAUCAGAGGACUGCCUGGUCUGACCUCAGUAGGAGAAGACAUACCUAACCCUUGAGAGACUUGAAGCCCCAGGGAGUGGGGAGGCCUGGUGGGUCUGGGGUUGGGGUGGGGUGGGAAUGCCCUCUUGGAGACCGGGGUAAGGAAGAAUGAGCUGAGGAACUGAAGGAGGGCACACAGGGAAGGGUAUAAUGGUUGGAUUAUACAAGAUAAAAGCAAUUAAAAAUUAUUUAAAAAAAUAAAAAUUCUAAUCAUUUCAAAAGUUAUUUGUAGAUAAAUUCUGACUCAUUUUAGUUAAUGUUAAGAGUGCUAGGUAAAAUACAUAUAUUGGGGCAAAUCAUGCUUUGUAAAUGUAUUAAUUUUCUGUAGCAAUUUUUGGCCUAACAGAACUCUUUCUUUUUGGGUAGUAACUUGAAUCCAAUAGCCCCUUUCCUGUUUUUGUAUCUCUGGUAUGCAUUCAAGGAGCAAAAGGCCAGCCCAAUAAGUGUGCUCUGUUAGUUGUAAAAUGCUUAUAUGACCUUUCUCUAGUAUUAGGACAACUAUCAGGAAGAAAUGGACUUUAGUAGAUAUGUAAUUAUAGUUUUGGGAUUGCCUUUGUGCUGGGAUUUUCACUUAUAUUCCAAUUUUAAUCAUUAUCUUUAUAGGAUAAAACAUCAGAAUGAUCUCUCUCCCCAGCAUAAAAACCACUUGAUUUUUGGCGGAAGCUAUUUUCAUUUAAUUCUUGAUCUAUUUAAAAGUAACUGGUUUCACAAAAAGCUUCCAUUGCUAAAUGAUAAAAUGGUAUUCUUAUGCCAUUUAUCCAAAGUUGUAUGUUUUUUCACUUGUUGGUGAAAUUGUUUUUUGAUUGACAAAGUAUUUAUUGAAGACUCAUUCUGUGCCAUCAAUCACAAUAUGUCAUAUAAUGAAAUGUUGGAUAAAUAUUGAUAAAAUAGAUUAUUUUGGAAUUUGAGCCUAGUGAGCUUAGAAGUUAAAAAGUGUAAAAGCUAGAAUGUAUGAUCGGAUCAAAUGAAUGCAGUUUUGCUGAACUCAACAUGUUAAACUGCUUUGAGUAGUUAAAAAGAUGAAUGCCAAUGUGCAAGGCAAUCUAGGCCACCUAGUUUUUAUGCAGAAUAUUUUUCUUAAGAUUAUUUGUAGAUGGUAAUAAAUUAGUGUUUUUAUUAAGCCAAGUCUGAUUUUCAGUUUAAUUUUUUUAAGGUACUACUUUAUACAGAAGUUAAAUCCACACUGUAGAAAUUCCCCUAAAGGGCUUAAAAUAUCUUUAGGAAGAUAAUAUAUUUAGAAAUUCUGGUUGCCCAUGCUUUACCUCAGACUUAUUCAUAUGUGCCAUUAACUGGUACCUUGCUCUGUGGCAUUGCUCAGAGGCUGCAUUAGGAUAGGUAUUAACUUUACUUACGAUGCUCCACGUGCAAUCUACCUCUGCUUUAUGGCAGGCAGGGAUUUAUUUGUAAUAAAUGAAUGGCAAAGGAUGUUAGAGUAUCGAAACAUUUUUUGAAUGGGUUAUCUUUUAAUGACCACUAUAUACAAAACUAAUUAAAUCAUUGUUAAAAAAUUCUAAAUCCUCUCUGCUUCAGCCUCCUGAAUGCUGAGAUAGAUGUGAAAUAUGCUACCUUUCUGAGCUUGAAGAAUGUUGACAAUGUUUUAGACAGGUGUAUUUAAAAUAUGUAAUUUGUAAAUAUUACAAAUUAGUUCUAGGUUCAUGAGUGUUUUACUAAUUUUCUGCUGUUCAUUGUUUUCCUUUCUCAUUAUAUUUGUACGGGAAGACUGCAUAUAUUUGGAAAGUCAUGUGUUUGUAUAUAUAACAUAUGAAUGUAUUUAUAAGUAACUUUAAAUAACACAUUAUGCUAGUAUAUUGGUUACAAUCCAGUUAUUUACAUACCAAAUGUUGUUUUUUAAAUUUUAUUGCUGUGGACCUGAAUUUAUCUGAUUUUAAUUAAGGUUCUAUUGUAUUCCUUAUCACAUCCAUUUUUCUUAGUAGUACUUGGGCAUUUGUGUCACUGUGGUAAGGAUUUCUACUGUUAACAAAAUCACCUUGUUAAGUACUUCUUUUGAUGCUUUUGCUUCUUUGUCUUCAUUUUCUCAUCAUUAUCUGGAUCUUUUGUAUCCCAGGCUGGCCUUGAACCCAGGGAAAAUGACCUUUAGUUUCCAAUCUUUUGCCUCCAGAGAACUAUGAUUACAGGUAUAGGCUACUUUACUGGGCUUAUAAAGUACUUUAUGCAAGCAGCCAGACAAACAAGAUAUAUAGUCCAUUUAUUUGUUGGUUGGUUUGUUUUUCUGAGACAGGAUCUCAUUUUGUAACAGGCUGGCCUUGAACUCACUAGGUAGCCCAGGUUGGCUUCAAACUCUAGGCAAUCCACAUGUCUCAGUCUCCUAAAUGCUACAAUCAUACAUGUGGUCUACUAUACCGUGCUAAUCAUUUGUUUGAUGCAAGGAUGGUCAGUAAGAAUUAGGAAACCAAGCAGCUUUUCCAUGUUAUAUUGCUACCAUUUGAGAAAGCUGUAGACUCACCUUUUUCACCAUUUAAAAAGCUCCUGGCCAAAAGUAACACUCAAUAGGCAUUAUGGUUGAUCUGUCUGUGUUCCAGGAAUUGGAUUCUCAUGUACUUUAUUUGUUCAGCCUAGUGUUUCAGUGAGUGUGGUAGAGCUUCUAAACUGAUAAUCAGCUGCUGCUUUGCUAAAGAACUUUGGAGAUCUAAUUGGGGCUGAAAAUUAAGUCCUUGUCAACUGUAAAAAGGAACAGGGCUACAAAACAAACAAGCAAACAAAAAAA